UACGAAGGAUGCAAGCGUUAUCCGGAUUUAUUGGGUUUAAAGGGUGCGUAGGCGGACUUAUAAGUCAGUGGUGAAAUCUCGUUGCUUAACGACAAACGUGCCAUUGAUACUGUAGGACUUGAGUACAGAUGCCGUUGGCGGAAUGUGUCAUGUAGCGGUGAAAUGCAUAGAUAUCAGGAGGAACACCGGUGGCGAAGGCGGGUCUCUGGGCCGUAACUGACGCUGAGGAGCGAAAGCGUGGGGAGCGAACAGG
rnacentral:rRNA from 1 species